rnacentral:lncRNA from 1 species
CCGAUACUCGUCGCAUUUCACGAACACUGGCGGUCUGAUCCACCGCAAGGAGUGUUCUUUUUCAGAAAAGUGGUUGAAUGGUGACAACCCGUGAGCCCUAGAGGGGUUAUAUGCACUGGAGAGUAGUAGUGGCAUUGGCUUGAGGUCUGCGGUGCUGACCAAGAGAGCAUUGGGUUCAGAUUGGGUACUUUUGGACUGAUUGUCCCGUUGAUGCAUACAUACAGUAGCUGUAGUUGUUCAUUUAUAUACACUUCAGUACUUGUUUAUUUUAGCUACUGUACUACCAUUAUCCAUAUAUUUGUUUAUCUCCGUGACUAGUGAGUACCCCUCGCCUUCUUCAGCUUGCGGUACCCACUGGGAGGGGAGACGUGUUUACAUGUUCUCACCCCCGGCCUCCUUUACAGGUGACGUAGCCGGUCCGAGUGGGACAGCUGGUGAGGAACGGGUCUAGCAUACGAUAGAGCUUUCCGUCCCAUGGUUUGGUUUAUCUACCCUUACUCUUCAUGAUUAAAUAAAUAACUAACUUAGACAUAUUAUGGUUCAGUUUUAUUUUACUAUUUGGAUAUCUGAGUUUUCAGUNUGGUUUGGUUUAUCUACCCUUACUCUUCAUGAUUAAAUAAAUAACUAACUUAGACAUAUUAUGGUUCAGUUUUAUUUUACUAUUUGGAUAUCUGAGUUUUCAGUUGGUUUUGGAAUGUAAUAAAGGAAUUUGUGUUUUCUUGAAAUGGAAAUGGUUUUCUACCCCUCGUGGUAGCAUUUUGAAAAGUUAAAAGUUCCUGUUUAGGGAACAAUUUUCAAAAGGUUUCUGUGGAUUUUGUAUCUUAGUAUUUCAAAACCUGUUUCUGUGAUUGGAAACAUUUUAACUGAUAGUUGUGGAUUUAUAUUUAAAUAGCGAAUGUAUAAUUGUGAAUCUAUAAUGAAUGGUGUAUGAAUGUAUAUCUGUGGUUGUUUGUAUAUUCAUCUGGUUCUGGUUGUUGUAUGAUUGAAAUCUUGUACUUGUGCGACGCCGUGCAAAUACAGAGGAGACUCUGUCCGUGUGAACAGUGGAACUCCUGUAUUUGUGGCGGAUCUGGCACACUCUGGGGUCAGAUUUUCAAAAAAAAAAUUUCAGACACUUUUCCGCUACCUUUUAAACUAAAAGGGACCCCGGGGCGUGACAUAUUCAAUGUUAAUGACACUAACAUUUGACAUUUCUUU